CAUAACGACUCUCGGCAACGGAUAUCUCGGCUCUCGCAUCGAUGAAGAACGUAGCGAAAUGCGAUACUUGGUGUGAAUUGCAGAAUCCCGUGAACCAUCGAGUCUUUGAACGCAAGUUGCGCCCGAAGCCAUUAGGCCGAGGGCACGUCUGCCUGGGCGUCACGCAUCGCGUCGCCCCCCACCCACUCCCCAAUAAUCCGGGGAUGGGGAAG
rnacentral:rRNA from 1 species